UGAUUGCCCACACCUGUGAUUACCCACAGGUGUGGGUAAUCAGUACUCAGGGGAGAAUGAUUGAGUGGCUGCCGGCGAUUGAGGAGUGGGUGUGGCUGAGGCAGAACCUGGCAUGGCUGUGACAAUCAGUCAUUGCCAUGGACAUAGACAAUGUUUAUGUGACAGGUCAUGUUAGAGAUCAUUUUAGUGGUAAACGGAAGUAGGCUGCUACUCUGAAUAUUUGAAGUAGCCUACAGUAGGCUCGGAUAUGGAUUCACUUAAACUGAGGACAAAAUAGGAUAGAAACCCCAUUGUGUGGUGUGCAGUAGAUGGCUGGCACAUGAGAGCAUGAAACCAUCAAAACUAAAAUGCCACAUGGAAACAAGGCACCCAAAGUCAUACCUGUCGAUUACUUUUAAAGGUGACAUCAAGAGUUGAAGACUUCACAAAUGUAGGCUAAUGCCAAACAAGUAGGCCUACAGGCACU